rnacentral:rRNA from 1 species
GGGACACGUGGUAUCCUGUCUGAAUAUGGGGGGACCAUCCUCCAAGGCUAAAUACUCCUGACUGACCGAUAGUGAACCAGUACCGUGAGGGAAAGGCGAAAAGAACCCCGGCGAGGGGAGUGAAAAAGAACCUGAAACCGUGUACGUACAAGCAGUGGGAGCACGCUUAGGCGUGUGACUGCGUACCUUUUGUAUAAUGGGUCAGCGACUUAUAUUCUGUAGCAAGGUUAACCGAAUAGGGGAGCCGAAGGGAAACCGAGUCUUAACUGGGCGUUAAGUUGCAGGGUAUAGACCCGAAACCCGGUGAUCUAGCCAUGGGCAGGUUGAAGGUUGGGUAACACUAACUGGAGGACCGAACCGACUAAUGUUGAAAAAUUAGCGGAUGACUUGUGGCUGGGGGUGAAAGGCCAAUCAAACCGGGAGAUAGCUGGUUCUCCCCGAAAGCUAUUUAGGUAGCGCCUCGUGAAUUCAUCUCCGGGGGUAGAGCACUGUUUCGGCAAGGGGGUCAUCCCGACUUACCAACCCGAUGCAAACUGCGAAUACCGGAGAAUGUUAUCACGGGAGACACACGGCGGGUGCUAACGUCCGUCGUGAAGAGGGAAACAACCCAGACCGCCAGCUAAGGUCCCAAAGUCAUGGUUAAGUGGGAAACGAUGUGGGAAGGCCCAGACAGCCAGGAUGUUGGCUUAGAAGCAGCCAUCAUUUAAAGAAAGCGUAAUAGCUCACUGGUCGAGUCGGCCUGCGCGGAAGAUGUAACGGGGCUAAACCAUGCACCGAAGCUGCGGCAGCGACGCUUAUGCGUUGUUGGGUAGGGGAGCGUUCUGUAAGCCUGCGAAGGUGUGCUGUGAGGCAUGCUGGAGGUAUCAGAAGUGCGAAUGCUGACAUAAGUAACGAUAAAGCGGGUGAAAAGCCCGCUCGCCGGAAGACCAAGGGUUCCUGUCCAACGUUAAUCGGGGCAGGGUGAGUCGACCCCUAAGGCGAGGCCGAAAGGCGUAGUCGAUGGGAAACAGGUUAAUAUUCCUGUACUUGGUGUUACUGCGAAGGGGGGACGGAGAAGGCUAUGUUGGCCGGGCGACGGUUGUCCCGGUUUAAGCGUGUAGGCUGGUUUUCCAGGCAAAUCCGGAAAAUCAAGGCUGAGGCGUGAUGACGAGGCACUACGGUGCUGAAGCAACAAAUGCCCUGCUUCCAGGAAAAGCCUCUAAGCAUCAGGUAACAUCAAAUCGUACCCCAAACCGACACAGGUGGUCAGGUAGAGAAUACCAAGGCGCUUGAGAGAACUCGGGUGAAGGAACUAGGCAAAAUGGUGCCGUAACUUCGGGAGAAGGCACGCUGAUAUGUAGGUGAAGUCCCUCGCGGAUGGAGCUGAAAUCAGUCGAAGAUACCAGCUGGCUGCAACUGUUUAUUAAAAACACAGCACUGUGCAAACACGAAAGUGGACGUAUACGGUGUGACGCCUGCCCGGUGCCGGAAGGUUAAUUGAUGGGGUUAGCGCAAGCGAAGCUCUUGAUCGAAGCCCCGGUAAACGGCGGCCGUAACUAUAACGGUCCUAAGGUAGCGAAAUUCCUUGUCGGGUAAGUUCCGACCUGCACGAAUGGCGUAAUGAUGGCCAGGCUGUCUCCACCCGAGACUCAGUGAAAUUGAACUCGCUGUGAAGAUGCAGUGUACCCGCGGCAAGACGGAAAGACCCCGUGAACCUUUACUAUAGCUUGACACUGAACAUUGAGCCUUGAUGUGUAGGAUAGGUGGGAGGCUUUGAAGUGUGGACGCCAGUCUGCAUGGAGCCGACCUUGAAAUACCACCCUUUAAUGUUUGAUGUUCUAACGUUGACCCGU